rnacentral:rRNA from 1 species
AGAGCGAACGCUGGCGGCAGGCUUAACACAUGCAAGUCGAACGGUAAGGCCCUUCGGGGUACACGAGUGGCGAACGGGUGAGUAACACGUGGGUGAUCUGCCCUGCACUUCGGGAUAAGCUUGGGAAACUGGGUCUAAUACCGGAUAUGACUACGAAUCGCAUGGUUUGUGGUGGAAAGCUUUUGCGGUGUGGGAUGGGCCCGCGGCCUAUCAGCUUGUUGGUGGGGUGAUGGCCUACCAAGGCGACGACGGGUA